UACGUAGGGCGCAAGCGUUGUCCGGAAUUAUUGGGCGUAAAGAGCUCGUAGGCGGUCUGUUACGUCCGCUGUGAAAACCCAGGGCUUAACCUUGGGCUUGCAGUGGAUACGGGUAGACUAGAGGCAGGUAGGGGAGAAUGGAAUUCCCGGUGUAGCGGUGAAAUGCGCAGAUAUCGGGAAGAACACCCGUGGCGAAGGCGGCUCUCUGGGACGGUACUGACGCUGAGACGCGAAAGCGUGGGGAGCGAACAGG
rnacentral:rRNA from 1 species